rnacentral:rRNA from 1 species
GAUGAACGCUAGCGGCAGGCCUAAUACAUGCAAGCUGAACGGUAAGAUUUGUAGCAAUACGGAUCCUAGAGUAGCGUAAGGGUGCGUAACACGUAUGCAAUCUACCCGCAACAGGAGGAUAGCUCUUCGAAAGAGGAAUUAAGACUCCAUAAUACCAUUUGAGGGCAUCUGAGGAUGGUUAAACUACAAGGGGUUGCGGAUGAGCAUGCGUCUGAUUAGUUAGUUGGCGGGGUAACGGCCCACCAAGACGAUGAUCAGUAGGGGAACUGAGAGGUUGGUCCCCCACACUGGCACUGAGAUACGGGCCAGACUCCUACGGGAGGCAGCAGUAGGGAAUAUUGGACAAUGGGUGCAAGCCUGAUCCAGCCAUGCCGCGUGCAGGAAGAAAGCCUUCUGGGUUGUAAACUGCUUUUUUCAGGGGAUAAAAUACCGGUGCGCCGGGAAUUGCAAGUACCUGGAGAAUAAGCCACGGCUAACUACGUGCCAGCAGCCGCCGUAAUAC